rnacentral:lncRNA from 1 species
AAUGAGAGGGAUUACAUGAAUGGGUGACCACAAGGAGAUGGUAGCAGUUGGGGUCAUGAGAGGAUAUGACUGCUACAAUAUCCCAUCAUCAAAAACAAAAAUAGGAAUCUAUCAAAGCAAGAGCACCAGUGAAGAAUCUAUUUGGCUGACAUGGACCCUGUUCUUACUGGUUAAUGAUGAGCAUCACUGUUCAGCUAGAACACUUGUAUGAUCGUUACAUGGAUGACUCCCUGUGGAAAUGGGAAGGGAAUAAAGAAUACACAUUUGGAAUGAAGAACAGAUUACAAACACUUGUUUGUUGGUACUAAUUAACAGAGAAUAGUGCAAGAGUUAGCUUUAUUUUUUCUUUAUUAAUAUUAUGUAUGUAUAACUUUAAAUAUGUUAUAUGUGUAUCUUACAUAUACAUUUCUAGAGAACUUAGGAAUAGAAAUCUGAAGAGCUGAGUUGCAAACUCCCUAUUUUCAAGGGUCGAACACUUCAGGUAGUUGGUGAAUAAUUUAUUACAAAGAAUCUCUACUUACAACUGUAAAGUGUGUGUAUAUAUACUAUAUAUAAUUAUACAUAUGUAAUAUAUACAUACAAAAAGACCGAGAGACAGAGAGAGACAGGGAAUUUACGCACCAACCAACACAAAUACAUAUGGAAUAAUAGAACAUAUGUUAAUAUCCCUAAAAUUCAGUAUGUAUGAGGCCAGAAGAGAGCGUUCAUAAAAUAUAAAGGAUCAACGUUAUGUAUAUGAUGUUUU